rnacentral:snRNA from 1 species
AUCGCUUCUCGGCCUUUUGGCUAAGAUCAAGUGUAGUAUCUGUUCUUAUCAGUUUAAAUAUGUACUUUUUUUCUCGAGGAUUCUAAAUUUCCUCUUAUAUCCUUU